UAGUUGUUAGUUAAAUGGUAUAACACCAGAUUGUAAAUCUGUUAUCAGGAGUUCGAUUCUCUUACAACUAA
rfam:Hanseniaspora opuntiae strain AWRI3578 Hanseniaspora_opuntiae_AWRI3578_scaffold228, whole genome shotgun sequence.